AGUCGAGGAGAGGGAAGAGCUUGCUCUUUCUGGAGACUGGCGGACGGGUGAGUAACGCGUAGAUAACCUGCCUUUAACUGGGGGAUAACAUUCCGAAAGGGGUGCUAAUACCGCAUGAUUCAAUCGAUUCGCAUGAAUUGAUUGUUAAAGCCUUCGGGCGGUUGAAGAUGGGUCUGCGUGCUAUUAGUUAGUUGGUGAGGUAACGGCUUACCAAGACGAUGAUAGCUAGGGGGUCUGAGAGGAUGAUCCCCCACACUGGGACUGAGACACGGCCCAGACUCCUACGGGAGGCAGCAGUGAGGAAUCUUGCGCAAUGGGCGAAAGCCUGACGCAGCCACGCCGCGUGCCGGAUGAAGGCCCUAUGGGUUGUAAACGGCUUUUGAGGGGGAAGAACGACCGGGUUUCGAUCUGGUGUGACGGUACCCCUUGAAUAAGCACCGGCUAACUCCGUGCCAGCAGCCGCGGUAAUACGGAGGGUGCAAGCGUUGUCCGGAAUCAUUGGGUGUAAAGGGUGCGUAGGCGGGAGCUUAAGUCUGGGGUGAAAUCUUGCCGCUUAACGGUAAAAUGGCCUUGGAUACUGGGUUUCUUGAGUGUAGAAGAGGUAAGUGGAAUUCAUAGUGUAGCGGUGAAAUGCAUAGAUAUUAUGAAGAACAUCAGUGGCGAAAGCGGCUUACUGGUCUACAACUGACGCUGAGGCACGAAAGCGUGGGGA
rnacentral:rRNA from 1 species